ACGGAGGGUGCAAGCGUUAUCCGGAUUCACUGGGUUUAAAGGGUGCGUAGGCGGGUAGGUAAGUCUGUGGUGAAAUCCCCAAGCUUAACUUGGGAACUGCCAUUGAUACUAUCAGUCUUGAAUACCGUGGAGGUCAGUAGAAUAUGUCAUGUAGCGGUGAAAUGCUUAGAUAUGACAUAGAAUACCAAUUGCGAAGGCAGCUGGCUACACGAAUAUUGACACUCAGGCACGAAAGCGUGGGGAUCAAACAGGA
rnacentral:rRNA from 1 species